rnacentral:rRNA from 1 species
AAUCAACGCUGGCGACAUGCCUAACACAUGCAAGUCGAACGAGAAAGGGUAGCAAUACCUGAGUAAAGUGGCGCACGGGUGAGUAACACGUGACUAACCUACCUCCGAGUUCGGAAUAACUUCGGGAAACCGAGGCUAAUACCGGAUGAUGUCUAUGGACCAAAGGGGCAACUCGCUUGGAGAGGGGGUCGCGGCUGAUUAGCUAGUUGGUGAGGUAAUGGCUCACCAAGGCAAUGAUCAGUAUCCGGCCUGAGAGGGCGCACGGACACACUGGAACUGAAACACGGUCCAGACUCCUACGGGAGGCAGCAGUGGGGAAUUUUGCACAAUGGGGGAAACCCUGAUGCAGCAAUGCCGCGUGGAGGAUGAAGUUCUUUGGAACGUAAACUCCUUUCGAUCGGGACGAUUAUGACGGUACCGGAAGAAGAAGCCCCGGCUAACUCUGUGCCAGCAGCCGCGGUAAUACAGAGGGGGCAAGCGUUGUUCGGAAUUAUUGGG